rnacentral:rRNA from 1 species
UACGGAGGGAGCUAGCGUUGUUCGGAAUUACUGGGCGUAAAGCGCACGUAGGCGGAUCGUUAAGUCGGGGGUGAAAUCCUGGAGCUCAACUCCAGAACUGCCUUCGAUACUGGCGAUCUCGAGUCCGGAAGAGGUGAGUGGAACUCCUAGUGUAGAGGUGGAAUUCGUAGAUAUUAGGAAGAACACCAGUGGCGAAGGCGGCUCACUGGUCCGGUACUGACGCUGAGGUGCGAAAGCGUGGGGAGCAAACAGG